CUGGUGCAAUCAAUGCACCCAAAAGAAUCACAUAUUCACAUGCCCACUGCCAUCAAUGCACUCUACAGAAACAUGUUUGCAUACCCAUUACAUACUGCACACUCCAGAAAUAUACAUUCACAGGCCCACUCUCAGAGUAUAUUCUACAGAAACACAUAAUCACAUGCCACUUGCUAUUUUGCAUUAGAGAAAAACACACAUUCUCAUGCCCAUUUCAACACUUCAUUCUAGAAACACACAUUUUCAUCACCUAUGCU
rnacentral:lncRNA from 1 species